rnacentral:rRNA from 1 species
CGCGUAGGUGGUUUGUUAAGUUGGAUGUGAAAGCCCCGGGCUUAACCUGGGAAUUGCAUUCAAAACUGGCAGGCUAGAGUGUGGUAGAGGGUAGUGGAAUUUCCGGUGUAGCGGUGAAAUGCGUAGAUAUCGGAAGGAACAUCAGUGGCGAAGGCGGCUACCUGGACCAACACUGACACUGAGGUGCGAAAGCGUGGGGAGCAAACA